UCAGCUGUAACCUGACGCUGCGCCAGCCUCCAGCUGAUCGCUGAGCGGGGGGCGGUCGGAAUCCGAGCACCUCAGAGCACGUGGCCUCAGCGCCUCCGCAAACAGCGACCCUGGAUCCCGGCUGUGGGCGGCGGGCUUUCUGGUGGGCUUUAAUUGUCUUCAAAGUCAGGCUGGAGUGUAGAAGACUUGAAGACAUCUGCAAUGGGUAUGUUCUUCCAGGGAUUUAAUUGAACUUUGGAGUCACUCAGUCUGCACUGACUUCUCUCCUGGUCAGGAAAAUCAUCUUGGAGUGAUGACUGCACCUGGACCUUAAGUCAGAUGGUGGAAUUUGUACUGGUGACUUAAAAAAAAAAUCAUGUAUUUUCCUCCUGAGCUCACCCAAUUGGCUUCAAAUUCUAGUCUCCUGCCACAACUUCAAUCCUUCAAGAGCUUCUUGAGCAAAAUGGAUAAGACCCUAGACCCUAACUAAAACUUUGAAGAGAUUCUUUUCGCAUCACCAAGUCCACUUCUGUUGGCCAGAACACCAGGCCUGUGGUGCUUUAUUUCUUCUCACCAGCCCAGCAGCCUUUCCUGACAGACCCCAGACCUCAAAGGCCUCAAAGCUGGAUUCUGAGGAAGCUAUUACCAUUGGGGACGAGGUCUCUGAAGAGGGCUGAGGUGAAAGCUUCCUGUGGAAGGAAUGGGGAAGGACAGUGUUAGAAGAAAGUAGGUCUCUGGGUUCUUUCCACUGGAGGCUGAGGAAGGAGAACAUCUCCCAGGAGAGGGAAAGGAAUCUUUCUCAUCUCUAUGCUCACUUCCACAGGUUUCCCCCACGGCUUUGGAAAAGAUAAGGAGCCAAGCCAUCAGAGGAAGAAAUGGAAUCUUUUACAAAAGAAAGCUGUCACGUCAGGACCACAUGGCAAAGCUUCUAGAGAUAAGAGAUGGAUUUUAGCCAUCCGGCCUGAGGGCUGGGGUCUGAGAAUAUCCUGAAGUAUGAGAGGAGGAACAGGAGGAGCUCAGCCAGUGGCCCAUCUAGUAUGGAAUAGCUAGGACUUUCCCCUGAACACUCUUGAGGGAUCCUAUUAUCUUGAUAGGCAACUGAGGUCACAUUUUGUUGGCAGCUCCUUUAAAGGACUGGGGUUUCUGAAGAUCAGGUUUCCUCAGCUGUGACACAGACCCACUCUGUGCACUGUACACCUGGGUCCAUUUCACAUGGCUCCUGUGGGUGUCAGGGCAAGGAGAAAUGAAACAUGAAGCUCAUGGGUUUGCAGUGCUUUAAGAGUCUUUCCCUGAACCAGAGCUCUCAUGUCUUCUGUCAGCAUCCAAGAAACUCCAGUAGGCUAAUUUCUUAGCUUGCCCAUAGCAUUAAAAAAAAAAAAAAAAAUUCAGCUCCUCCAAUUAUU